rnacentral:rRNA from 1 species
AGCUACCGGAAGAACACACUAGCUGCCAAUGCCACAAAGACCAAGCUGGAGAACAAAGGUAAAAGCAAGGCAUGCUGCUGCUAUGUCAAGGUCAGCAUGAAUGGAGCCCCAUACCUAAGGAAGGUCGACCUCAAGACUUAACUCGAGCUAUACAAGAAUCUUUCUCUAGAGCUCGAGAAGAUGUUCAGCUGCUUCAUCACUGAACACAUGUUCUUGCAAAACAUCAACAAGAGACAGGCUCACAAAUGGUUCUAGGAUAGAUGCUCUUUGGGACCAGGAGUAUGUCUUCACUUAUGAAGACAAGGAUGCUGAU